UUAAAUAUGCCAUGAAUGACGUACCUUAAUAGCUUAUCUCAUGAAUUAUCUUCUGAAUUCUACGGGAGUGUGCCUCCACGUCCACGAAUCUAUCAGCCUCCAUGUGCCUCCACGGAUCUGUCAGCCUCCAUGUAUCAGACAUCUGAUACUCUCUGAUACUCUAGGUAGCAGUCACAACUUACUUAGAGUAUCUCAAACAUAUCUCACAUUAUUGCUGGAACUGUAAUAGUUAUACAGAUCAUCAGCAAGUCGAUUAAGAAUAUAAUUCUUAUCAUUAUUCUCCCAUGGGUUAAUUCUCCAACUGUUUUAUCCUUUUCUAUUUGCUUCAAACUGAAACAGUUUAACAAAAUGAGAGACAACAUAACCAAAUCUAGUAAUCUCUUCGGUUGACAUGGCAGAUCGAAACGUCUUAAAAUUGUUGGAUUUUGAAUUUCAAAAACUAUUUAAAAUUCACAAUUUAUGCCACCGAAGAUAUUACUGGGUUGAGUCGCGGACUAGGUCGCUCUCUUUAAGACGUUUCGCGGCACUGCCCAAAUUGUGCAAGGCAGACUAUCAACCACGAAGUCCCCAGGAUAAAACAGCCCAGAUUCACUGUAUCGGAGUUCCACUGCACCGUAGAAAACCGUUCUAGAAUUACACCCUCAAUAUGGCAAUUAAAGCCACUCUCAAUAUGGUACUAUGACCAUUCAUAACUACGGUAUAAUAACCGCUUAAAAAGACAAAAAACGAAUGGACUACGGCAUAAUAACCGCUCUAAAAACAAAGUGAUUACGGCAUAGCAACCGCUCUAAAAACAAAAGAACUACGGCAUAACAACCGCUUUAAAACCGAAGGGACUACGGUAUCAUAACCGCUCUAAAACCGAAGGGACUGCGGCAUAAUAACCGCUUUAAAACCGAAGGGACUGCGGCAUAAUAACUGCUCUAAAACCGAAGGGACUGCGGCAUAAUAACCGCUUUAAAACCGAAGGGACUGCGGCAUAAUAACCGCUCUAAAAUCGAAGGGACUGCGACAUAAUAACCGCUUUAAAACCGAAGGGACAGAAAGAAAGGGGAGAAGUGGUUCGAAAAUUAGGCGAGCAGAAUAUAAGAGGGAGAAAAGAGAAAGUUGGGAAAAGCAUCCAACUUUGGUGUACUUUUCACAAUAGCUUGAAACUCAUUAUAUAGUGAUGGAAGCAAAGUCACAU
rnacentral:lncRNA from 1 species